rnacentral:rRNA from 1 species
UUGUGGUUAAAAAGCUCGUAGUUGGAUCUCAACAGCCUUGAAGCGGUUAACUUUGUAGUUUUACUGCUUUAUAGGCUGUGCUUUUGCUGGAGGUUUAGGGGUGCUCUUGAUCGAGUGUCUCUGGAUGCCAGCAGGUUUACUUUGAAAAAAUUAGAGUGCUCAAAGCAGGCUAAAAUGCCUGAAUAUUCGUGCAUGGAAUAAUAGAAUAGGAUGUCGAUCCUAUUUUGUUGGUUUUCGGGACUCGACAUAAUGAUAAAUAGGGACAGUCGGGGGCAUUUGUAUUCAAACGACAGAGGUGAAAUUCUUGGACCGUUUGAAGACAAACUACUGCGAAAGCAUUUGCCAAGAAUGUUUUCAUUAAUCAAGAACGAAAGUUAGAGGUUCGAAGGCGAUUAGAUACCGCCCUAGUUCUAACCAUAAACGAUGCCAGCUAGCGAUCUGCCUGCGUUUUUACUGUA